CCCCUGUCAGGUAACAAUACCUCCUUUCAGGCCCUGCCAAAGCCCCGCUCCGAUAAGAGCCGGCAGCAGAGGGAACUGCCAUCAAUAUUUGGGUGAAUUUUAACCACCUGAGGACAGCCCGGGGUGGGGGGAUCAGCGCAGCACCUGGCCCGUGCUUUAAAGCAUCACUUCCAAACCCAUCUCCCUGCCCAGAUCCCCCGGAAUUCCCGGUAAAUCUCUCUCCAGCGGCUGCAAAGACCGAGCUUAGAGCCGGGACUAAGCCUCCAGCCGCGCUCAGCACCCAGUCCAAAAUGGGUUUGGAAGUUGUGGAGGAUCCCAGGAUGAGGAUGAAGAGCGGCUGGAUUCUGACAGCGAGCGAAACUCCACGCCAAGCUGUCCCUGCUUUUUUUGCCACUUUGGCGAAGGAAAACGGAAUAAAUGAUGCUCCUCUGCAAGGUCUCAUCGUAAAAUUCAAAGGAAAUAAAUUAAUUCAUUAAAGAGCAGUUCUGUUGAUGAAUUUUAAUUCAGAGAGGGAUUAAACCAGCACCUCUCAGUGGCUCCGGGGCUUUUCCUGCCCGUUGGAGGCUCCAGGUUGGGAUGGAGACCUGGAGCUGUGGAAAAUCAGCUGAAAUUUCACUUCAGCCCCUCCUGGACGAGCUCCAGGGUCCUCACCCCAGCCCCUUUGGAAGCUCCUGGAAUUAUCAGGGAAGGGAGAACAAUGGGAAGCUCCACGGAGAUCUCAGGGGUGCAGCCCCGACCCUCAGUGCCAGCAGCUCCAAAUUCCCUGGAAAGGCUUUUCCCAUGGAAAAGGGACUGGGGAACUGCUCUGCUGGGCCAGAGCUCCCUCAGCAUCCGUGGGGAGCAGGAAAAUUCCACCCCACUCAUUCCCAGCUGGAAAAGGCUCAGCACCCACUGCUGGGGUCAGCCCUGAGCUGUGGGAGACACGGCCACACCCAGCAGCAGAGGCAAAAAUCCUUAAAAGUCCCUAAAAAAACCCAAAAAACCCCUCCCAAAAACCCCAAAUUUGAGCAGAGCAAGCCCAGAGUGUGGCUCAGCACCCCCGGGGGGACAGGAGGGGACUCGGCCCCUUCCCACUGCCACAACCCCCGGGAAGAAAUCAAACACAAAGCACCAAAACUGAGCUGAGCCCUUCGAGAUGGUUCCAAAGCGAUGUUUUGUGGAAAAUAAAGGAUUUAUAGAGAGCCUGGGCACAACGUCCUGCCCUUGGAACGGGGCAGGGGCAGCCAGGCCCAGCUCUGGGCCUGCCUACGUGAGCCUGGCUUUAAAUCCGUGUAUAUACACCUCCAACAAAUCCCUGUUUAUUGCUCAGCAGAGCAAACCACGGGGUUUUUUACAUAAAUAAUCCCCAUGUAAAUAAACUCCCCACCCUGAGCAAACUCCGAGGGAUCCUGGCGCAGAUUUCUCUAUUUUUCAAAUAAAUCAUCCUCCCCCCACCCCACCCCUCGCUGGAGCUGGCAGCUCCAAUUUCCAAAUCACUGCAGGGCCAGCAGCUGGAAACAACCCAAACAAACAAUUUUACAAGUUCCAGAAGUCGAAAACCCCUCCUUUCCCUGCCCCACCAUCCCCAAACACCCCCCUUUUCUUUUAUUUAAAUUUUUUUUUUUUAAUUCAUUUCAAUUUCUGGGUCGAAUUCGAGGAGCAGGCGGAGGAAAUGGGUGACCCAGGGACAUCUGCAAGCCAUUAGGGCCCAGACUUCAGGUAGCUCCCAGCAACACGUGCUGGCCACAUUACACCCUCCAAGGAUAUUUCCACAACUUUCCUUCUCCAAAUAAACACUCGGGCUCUGCCUGCAUUAGGCAGGAGCUGCACAAACAGGUAGAGAGAAUGGCAGUUUUAUUCCCCUUGCCCAAUUCUGAUGGAUUUUCUUGUAAAGCUGGUGCCGGGCUCUGUAAUUUGAACUAUUGCUCGGAAAACAGAGCGGGGAUGGCUUGAAAUUCCAGCUGUUUGUUUCUGGGGAUGGGGAAUCGGGCACGGAAUUCAGCCUCACGCUGCUGGCUGGGCAAAAUUAGGGGGGAAAAAAAUGAGAGAAAAAUUGAGGGAUUAAAAAAUCCAGGGUAAAAUGAAGGGAUUUA